rnacentral:rRNA from 1 species
UAGUAUUCAAUUGUCAGAGGUGAAAUUCUUGGAUUUAUUGAAGACUAACUACUGCGAAAGCAUUUGCCAAGGAUGUUUUCAUUAAUCAAGAACGAAAGUUAGGGGAUCGAAGACGAUCAGAUACCGUCGUAGUCUUAACCAUAAACUAUGCCGACUAGGGAUCGGAUGAUGUUAAUUUUUUAAUGACUCG